rnacentral:rRNA from 1 species
UACGGGGGGGGCAAGCGUUGUUCGGAAUUACUGGGCUAAAGGGCGCGUAGGCGGUUUGCUAAGUUGGAUGUGAAAACUCUGGGCUUAACCCAGAGCCUGCAUCCAAAACUGGCAAACUUUGAGUACUGGAGGGGAAAGCGGAAUUCCUGGUGUAGCGGUGAAAUGCGUAGAUAUCAGGAGGAACACCGGUUGGCGAAGGCGGCUUUCUGGACAGUAACUGACGCUGAGGCGCGAAAGCUAGGGGAGCAAACAGG